UCCAGGAUUUAUCACAACACAAAAUUGAUUCUAAGAUUCUAUGUUUUAAGAUCUUCGAUUAAUUAAAAAAAUUUACACAUUUUACGAGACAAAUAUUUCUUUUUUAAACAGAGCUUAAUAUGUAAGGAUUUAAAUUUCGCGAUUUUCUCCAAUAAGAACAAAUAUUUUUGUAAAACUUAUAGUUCUCGUAUAUUUUUCGUAUAUUAUACGAAACUAUUAGAUCAAAUAACUGUAAUUAUCAAUUUGUGGUGACGAGAAUGGAUUUGUACGGAAAGGAUAAGGGCAAUAUCAGUUUACCUCUUCGUUUACAGUCGCCAAAUACCAACAAAGGCAAACUGAAAGAGAUCAUCGUUAAUACACAAAAAGCUUUUUAUAAUUUAAAAAUCGCAGACAUAGUUAAAAAAAUUCAAAGAAAUUAUUAAAUAGUGAUCUUCUAAUAUACAAAAGAUACAAUACCUUCAUUAACAAUACGAUUCCUUAAAUAUUAGAUUAGAAGAACGAAAUAAGGUAUUAGAAAAUAGUUUGAAAGAUACAGAUAGUUCAAUUAAAGUCUUACAAGAGAAGAGAUCACAAGAGAUAUCUGGUUUAAAAUUACAAGUAGAUACUCAGAUAGCCAAAGUGGAAGAAUAUAGGCAGCAAGUGAGUGCUUUGGAAAAUACAAGAAUAGACCAUGAAUCCUCUCAUGCUGCAAAAUUGAUAUACAUAAAAAAAAAAUAUGAUGACACGCGACUCAAAUUUAUUUCGCAACUCAAACUUUUGAAUGCUAAAACUAACGUCUUAGAAGAUUAUAAAUCAGUGCAACAAAUUCUGGAAAAGAAAUUAGAAGCACAAAAUCAAGCCUUAACUCGUGAUAAGGAACGAGUAUCAGAAAAAUUACAUCAGAUUGAACGAAAAUUCAAAAUUGACAAAGAAAAGUAAAACGGAUAAAUUUUAUUUGUCUUUGCUACACAUUUCUCAUCAAUUGCUAUUAUUUUUCAAUAAUGCUUCAGACUCAAUGAAGAAUUAUACAGUCAUCUCUUAGAGUUAGCUGGUAUAUUUCAACUUGAAGUAGCUCAGCAUAUGCCUUACACUAUGUCCAAAUUGCUGUCAGAAAAUAUAGCUGUAAGCAAUAUGUUAUCUGCAAUCGCAGAAAACACGAGUAUUAAAAAACAGGACUAUAUUGAACGCAAAAACGCUGUAAAAGGAUAUAGAAAAAGAAUUAAUGAUGAACACUUGAAUGCAAAACAUUCUUUGUUGGUUACAAAAUUGGAAAAAUCCACAAGCGCGAAGUUACGUGAAAUGCGCGAUAAAACUGAAACUAAUUUAUCCAAGAUAAAAAAAUUUAAUUAUCUCACAGAAGAGCAAUAUGCGAAAAACAUAAACAAUGCGAAAAAUAAAGCGCGACAAUGUGAGGUGCACGUUAAAUAUUUAGAAAUAUUACUUUAUUGCGAGAAAGAGAAACUUACUAU